CCUACGGGGGGCAGCAGUGGGGAAUAUUGGUCAAUGGCCGGAAGGCUGAACCAGCCAAGUCGCGUGAGGGACGACUGCCCUAUGGGUUGUAAACCUCUUUUAUAAGGGAAGAAUAAAUGCUACGUGUAGCAUGAUGCCUGUACCUUAUGAAUAAGCAUCGGCUAACUCCGUGCCAGCAGCCGCGGUAAUACGGAGGAUGCGAGCGUUAUCCGGAUUUAUUGGGUUUAAAGGGUGCGUAGGCGGAUUUUUAAGUCAGCGGUAAAAUGUCCGGGCUCAACCCGGGCCGGCCGUUGAAACUGGGGAUCUUGAGUGGGCGAGAAGUAUGCGGAAUGCGUGGUGUAGCGGUGAAAUGCAUAGAUAUCACGCAGAACUCCGAUUGCGAAGGCAGCAUACCGGCGCCCGACUGACGCUGAGGCACGAAAGCGUGGGGAUCGAACAGGAUUAGAUACCCGGGUAGUC
rnacentral:rRNA from 1 species